GGCCCUGAGUUUGAUCAUGCUCAGAUUGAAACGCUGGCGGCAGGCCUAACACAUGCAAGUCGAGCGGUAGCACAGAGAGCUUGCUCUCGGGUGACGAGCGGCGGACGGGUGAGUAAUGUCUGGGAAACUGCCUGAUGGAGGGGGAUAACUACUGGAAACGGUAGCUAAUACCGCAUAAGUCGCAAGACCAAAGUGGGGGACCUUCGGGCCUCAUGCCAUCAGAUGUGCCCAGAUGGGAUUAGCUAGUAGGUGGGGUAACGGCUCACCUAGGCGACGAUCCCUAGCUGGUCUGAGAGGAUGACCAGCCACACUGGAACUGAGACACGGUCCAGACUCCUACGGGAGGCAGCAGUGGGGAAUAUUGCACAAUGGGCGCAAGCCUGAUGCAGCCAUGCCGCGUGUGUGAAGAAGGCCUUCGGGUUGUAAAGCACUUUCAGCGGGGAGGAAGGCGUUAAGGUUAAUAACCUUGGCGAUUGACGUUACCCGCAGAAGAAGCACCGGCUAACUCCGUGCCAGCAGCCGCGGUAAUACGGAGGGUGCAAGCGUUAAUCGGAAUUACUGGGCGUAAAGCGCACGCAGGCGGUCUGUCAAGUCGGAUGUGAAAUCCCCGGGCUCAACCUGGGAACUGCAUUCGAAACUGGCAGGCUAGAGUCUUGUAGAGGGGGGUAGAAUUCCAGGUGUAGCGGUGAAAUGCGUAGAGAUCUGGAGGAAUACCGGUGGCGAAGGCGGCCCCCUGGACAAAGACUGACGCUCAGGUGCGAAAGCGUGGGGAGCAAACAGGAUUAGAUACCCUGGUAGUCCACGCCGUAAACGAUGUCGAUUUGGAGGUUGUGCCCUUGAGGCGUGGCUUCCGGAGCUAACGCGUUAAAUCGACCGCCCGGGU
rnacentral:rRNA from 1 species